UAUCUUGCUGCUGUUGCUUUUCUGUCUGCUGUUGUUUGCACAGCCAGCACGAAGAGACCAAAGUUAAAGAAAGCAAGUAAACACAUGAUCUGCCACAAGUGGUAUAAAAUCCAAAAAAAGGUUCGAGAGCAUCAUCGAAAAUUGAGAAAGGAGGCUAAAAAACGGGGUCACAAGAAGCCUAGGAAAGACCCAAGAGUUCCAAACAGUGCUCCCUUUAAGGAGGCACUUCUCCAUGAAGCUGAGCUAAAGAAACAGUAGCUUGAAGAACUGAAACAGCAGCAGAAACUUGACAGCAAAAAGAACAAGAAAAGAAAACUUGAAAAUAAUCCUGAUGUUAAGCCAUCUAAUGUGGAACCCGUGAAAGAGGAAUCUGGACAUUGCAAAACUAAGAACAAAGCUAAUUUGGGUAAACAGAAUUCAAAGAAGUUGUAUUGUCAAGAACUUAAAAAGGUGAUUGAAGCCUCAGAUGUUGUGUUAGAGGUGUUGGAUGCCAGAGAUCCUCUUGGUUGCAGGUGUCCUCCGGUAGAAGAGCCCAUUGUUUAGAGCGGACAGUAAAAGCUGGUACUUGUAUUAAAUAAAUCAGGUCUAGUACCAAAGGAAAAUUUGGAGAGCUGGCUAAAUUAUUUGAAGAAAGAAUUGCCAACAGUGGUGUUCAGAGCCUCAACACAUCUGAGGGACAAAGGAAAGAUAACCAAGGUAAAGAAGAAAGCUGCUCCAUUCCAAAGUAAAGUCUGCUUUGGGAAAAAGGUGCUUUGGAAACUUCGUGGAGGUUUUCAGGAAACUUACGGCAAAGCCAUUCAGGUUGGAGUAAUUGGCUUCCCAAAUGUGGGGAAAAGCAGCAUCAUCAAUAGUUUAAAACAAGAACAGAUAUGUAAUGUCGGCUUAUCCAUGGGACUUACAAGGAGCAUGCAAGUUGUUCCCUGGGACAAGCAUAUCACAAUCAUGGACAGCCAAUGCUUCUUUGUAUCGCCACUUAACUCCUCCACUGCACUUGCUCUGCGAAGCCCAGCAAGUAUUGAAGUGAUAAAACCAAUGGAGGCUGCUAGUGCCAUCCUGUCCUAGGCUGAUACUCGACAGGUAGUACUGAAAUGUACUGUCCCUGACUUUAAGAAUCCUCUGGAAUUUUUUGCUAAGUUUGCUCAAAGAAGAGGUCUGUACCAGAAAGGUAGAAGCCCAAAUAUUGAAGGUGCUGCCAAAGUACUGUGGUCUGAGUGGACAGGUGCCUCAUUAGGUUACUAUUGCCAUACUCCUACAUUCUGGACUCCUCCGCAUUUUAAUGAGAGUAUUGUGGCAGACAUGAAAUGUGGUUUAAAUCUGGAAGAACUGGAAACAAUACACAUACCAUAAAAGCUAUCAGGGGCCCUCCUUUGGCCAAUAGUAUCCUUUUCCAGUCUUUGGGUAUGACAAAUGGAAUAAUAAAAGAAAAGGACAUAUGUGAAGAAUUGCCAAAACAGAAAGAGAGGAAGCAGGAGGAGAGAGAGAAUGAUGAAGAUGUUUACAGUGACCAGGAAAUUGUUGAUCAAGAAUUGUUUAAAGCUGAAGAAAAGACCUCAGAUACAUCCCCUGCAGAAGAGACAUGGGAAGAACUGCCUGAGGAGUCUAUAGCAGGCAAACAGUCUCCAAGAUCUUUUAUCUUUGAUAAAGUGAUUCAAGAGGAUAAAGCUUAUGACUUCAGUACAGACUAUGUGUAAAAAUGUCCUUUUAUGAGAGGUUAUAAC